GUUUUCCCAAAGGUGUCUGCAGCAUUGUGACGUAUUUGUAGGCAUAUCAUUGGAAGAUUGACCAUAAGAGACUACAUUUACCAGGUGGUCGCUUGGUGUCCUCCGUCGCAAUUAUUGCGUAAUCUCCAGCUGCAGUAUUUUUCCGUUUGUCUCUGAUGACAAACCGACUGCCAGGAAUGAUUUUUCAUCUAAUAGAAUUGUGAAAAACACCUUGAGGAUUGAUUCUAAACAACGUUUGCCAUGUUUCUGUCAAUAUUAUGGAGCUAAUUUGGAAAAAAGUUUGGCGUUGUAAGUGACUGCAUUUUCGUUUUUUUUUUCCUUAGCCAAACGUGAUGAACAAAACGGAGCUAUUUCUCUUACACAAAUAAUCUUUUUGGAAAAAAUGAACAUUUGCUAUGUAUCUGAGAGUCUCGUCAUUGAAAACAUCCAAAGUUCUUCAAAGACCAGGCUCCCAGAACGUUAAGGCAGACGCACUGUCCCGGCUGUAUGACACAGAGGAGCGGUCCAUGGAUCCCACUCCCAUACUCCCAGCUUCUUGUUUGGUGGCACCGGUAGUGAGGGAGCUGGACGCGGACAUUGAGCGGGUGUCACGUGCAGAGCCCUCACCCCCUCAGUGUCCAGCUGGACGUCUGUACGUUCUGUUUGCUGUCCGCAACCAACUGAUCUAUUGGGCCCAAACGUCACCCUCGUCUGGUCAUCCUGGGAUAGGUCGGACGGUGUGCUGUCUUGAUGGGAGGUACUGGUGGCCCACUUUAGCUAAGGACGUGAGGAUUUAUGUUUCCUCCUGCUCAGUGUGCGCCCAGUGCAAGGUCCUAGACACCUGCCCAGAGGGUAUCAGACGGUUCUGGCUCCUUGGCAUCAGAGUCAGACCAAGGCUCCUGCGGUGGACAAUUGGGUCCGGCGCGUGGAGGAAACCUGGGAGGCCGCCCACGUCCAUCACCGCAGUGAGGCCCCGGUGUUGGCACCAGGGGACAGGGCUGGCUCUUGACCCAAAACCUGCCCCUCCGCCUGCCCUUCCGGAAGCUGGGUCCGCGGUUUGUGGGGCCGUUUAAAGUCCUGAGGAGAGUGAAUAAGGUAUUUUAUAGGUUACAGCUACCCAUACAAUUACCAUAUUAACCCCUCGUUCCAUGUGUCUCUCCUCAGGCCGGUGGUGGCUGGCCCACUCCAGGAGGCUGAAGUGCGGGAUGUUCCUCCGCCGCCUCUGGACAUUGAGGUGGUCCCGGCGUACUCCAUUCGAUCCAUCUUGGAUUCGAGACGUCGGGCGAGGGGCCUUCAGUACCUCGUGGACUGGGAGGGGUACAGUCCGGAGGAGAGAUGCUGUGUUCCGGUGGAGGACGUGUUAGAUCCUUCCAUGCUGCGAGAAUUCCACCAUCUCCAUCCGGAUCGCUCUGCGCCUCACCCUACGGGACGCCCCCGAGGCCGGCGUC
ensembl:lncRNA